GGGCCCGCACAAGCGGUGGAGCAUGUGGUUUAAUUCGAUGAUACGCGAGGAACCUUACCAGGGCUUAAAUGUAGUCUGACAGCUUUAGAGAUAAAGUUUUCUUCGGACAGAUUACAAGGUGCUGCAUGGUUGUCGUCAGCUCGUGCCGUGAGGUGUCAGGUUAAGUCCUAUAACGAGCGCAACCCCUGUUGUUAGUUGCCAGCGAGUAAUGUCGGGAACUCUAACAAGACUGCCGGUGCAAACCGUGAGGAAGGUGGGGAUGACGUCAAAUCAUCACGGCCCUUACGUCCUGGGCCACACACGUGCUACAAUGGCCGGUACAGAGAGCAGCCACUACGCGAGUAGGAGCGAAUCUUCAAAACCGGUCUCAGUUCGGAUCGGGGUCUGCAACUCGGCCCCGUGAAGCUGGAAUC
rnacentral:rRNA from 1 species